UAACAAUUUCGGCCUCAAUACUGGUUAUUUGCCCUCUCUCCCCUCCGGCGACCCGAAACUUCCUCCUUCAUCUGGAAGCGGAGCGCAGAUCGAAGGCGCCGGUGAUCGGAGACUUCGCCACUCUUUCCUGGAAAUCCUAGGCUUUCUCUGAUUCUCUAUCUCUCCCUCUCCCUCUCCCGGUCUUUUUCUCGCGUGCUACCCUUCUUACCCGCAGUGACCGCCUUCGCGCGAGGAUGUCGGAGGGUAUCUGCCCUCCUUCGUAGGGCCGUUGGCGAAACUUUUACGCUCUUCUACUCUUGUCUUCUUUAGAUCCGGAGCAACCGAUUAACAUUUGCUUUGGGUAAGGUUUUCCUUCGGUGUUUUUCUUGCUUAUUUCGGAGCCACUUGCUUUGUCAUGGUGAAAUCUCUUACUGUACCAAGUGGCACAGUCGAAACGCACGAUAAAUUGCCAAAAUCUAGUCAUGCAAUAUUGAGAUAAUAUUAUUUUUUUUGUUGUUUGUGUUCAUGUAAGAUAAUGUCAAAAUCCUAUCAUUUAGAUAGAACACAAAGUAUAUAAUUAUCUCAUUUCUUUUUUCUUCUUCAAUUAUGUAAAAUAUUUGAAAAAUGGUGAAUAAAAAUAAAAGAAUUUUUUGAAAUUUUUGAUAUGGACGAGAAAAUGUGGAUUUUCUUUAUUUCCUUUUCUUUUUAUUUCUUCGUUUCUUUCCUUUCAUCGCCGAAACCCCCUCCCCGGCGCGCCUCUCUUCCUUUCCUAGCCGAAGCCCUCUCGAGCCCGAACCGUCGGCGGUUACUCCUCUCCCUCGCGUGCAUAAGGCUGGGACCAAGAGAAGCCGACAUUUUUCUUCUCCCUCUCCGCAGCCGAGCUACCUCGCGUGUGCCCUAGCACCGCCGGGUGCCGAUCCUCCUAAGCCCUAGCGCCGACAUUCAGUCCAUCUUCGCUGCGAGCCGCACACUCGACGCCUUCUUCUUCCUUUUCCCCCAAGCUCCGGCGACGAAUCUGCCUCCGCCGACCCACUGUCGCCCUUGUGUGCCGACGCCGCCGCCGACUCUUGACCCGAGUAACACCGACCGCCUCCUCUCUGCCCUCUCCUGAUCAUGAGGGUUUCUGUUGUGCCGCCACAGUGAACGCUGCUCUGAUUUCUACAGCCAACGCCCUCUCCACAGUCCUCUGCCAUUGUUGACCUAGGGUUCCGGCGGCCAGUAUUGAGAUUAGGCAACGAGGUGUUUUCCAGAUCAGAGCUUGGAUCUUCUCCUCUGUUCUUGAUUAUUUUCUUCCUUGCGGUGGAUUUAGGUCACGGUUGAGCAAAGCUUUAAACUCCAGCAGCAAAACUUUAAUCAGUAGCUGCUCAUACUCGGUCCAGCAGCAACGAUCCUUGCUAUUGAGCCACAGCGACUGGGGUUGAGGACUUUGACACGAGACGAGUAUCUCGACGUCAGAUUUGGACCAGAUUGGAUCCUUCCUUAU